rnacentral:rRNA from 1 species
AUGGCAGAGGAACCGUCCGCCAAGCAUCAUCAUGCCGAGAUGUCGGACAAGAGGAGCAACCUCGUCGACAUUAACGUCCCCGGCGAGAAGCACGAGUACACAACAACCCUCAAAGGGGUUGAGCUCCACGGCAACGAGACGCUGGAGAUCGUCUGCACCAGCGUACUAGAAAAGGCCGACGAGGUGAUCUCCAGGCUCUGGAUGAAGCUUGGCGGCAGGUUUCGUAGGAUCGUCGGCGUUGGUGUGCACUACACCAACGAAGAUGAACCUCCCCAGAUGGCAGCAGUCCUGCAGUUGUGCGUCGAUGAACCCUGCUUGGUGUACCACAUCGCAGCGGCCACAAAAUGGCCCAAGCGCCUGACCGAGAUGCUGCAGCAUGACAAGUUGUUCACAUUUGCCGGUUUCAGCAUUGAAAGCGACAAAGAGAAGCUGAAGUUGUCCGAUAUGGAGAUCAACCCCAACAAGUUCAUCGACAUUCAGCGCAAGUGGAGAGUUCCAUAA